rnacentral:rRNA from 1 species
UCCUGGCUCAGGAUGAACGCUAGCGGCAGGCUUAACACAUGCAAGUCGAGGGGUAUAGUUCUUCGGAACUAGAGACCGGCGCACGGGUGCGUAACGCGUAUGCAAUCUACCUUUUACAGAGGGAUAGCCCAGAGAAAUUUGGAUUAAUACCUCAUAGUAUAUAGCCCUGGCAUCAGGAUUAUAUUAAAGUCACAACGGUAAAAGAUGAGCAUGCGUCCCAUUAGCUAGUUGGUAAGGUAACGGCUUACCAAGGCUACGAUGGGUAGGGGUCCUGAGAGGGAGAUCCCCCACACUGGUACUGAGACACGGACCAGACUCCUACGGGAGGCAGCAGUGAGGAAUAUUGGACAAUGGGCGCAAGCCUGAUCCAGCCAUGCCGCGUGCAGGAUGACGGUCCUAUGGAUUGUAAACUGCUUUUAUACGAGAAGAAACACUCCUUCGUGAAGGAGCUUGACGGUAUCGUAAGAAUAAGGAUCGGCUAACUCCGUGCCAGCAGCCGCGGUAAUACGGAGGAUCCAAGCGUUAUCCGGAAUCAUUGGGUUUAAAGGGUCCGUAGGCGGUUUAAUAAGUCAGUGGUGAAAGCCCAUCGCUCAACGGUGGAACGGCCAUUGAUACUGUUAGACUUGAAUUAUUAGGAAGUAACUAGAAUAUGUAGUGUAGCGGUGAAAUGCUUAGAGAUUACAUGGAAUACCAAUUGCGAAGGCAGGUUACUACUAAUUGAUUGACGCUGAUGGACGAAAGCGUGGGUAGCGAACAGGAUUAGAUACCCUGGUAGUCCACGCCGUAAACGAUGGAUACUAGCUGUGGAAGCAAUUUCAGUGGCUAAGCGAAAGUGAUA